AACAUGAGUCGUCUUUUUAAUGUGUUAACUCAAAGCUGCAAUUUUCAACUGUUUCAAUAUGUUAAGUUAACUCCUUGGAACUUUCAAAGACUCGAUACGAUACAUCUUCUCUUGACGCUUUUAUUUUCAGGAAGUAAAAGCUAACCAACC
ensembl:ncRNA F55B11.132 ncRNA